AUCAAAUUUCCGAACGAAUGAUAUUCAUUUCAAUUAUUAAUAACUUACAAUCAUUAUUAUUCAUAAAAAUUAAUUUAACAUUUAACCUCUUUUAUAAGAAAUACAAUUCCAAGUCAUCUCAUUACGUUUACAUAUUUCUAUAUAAUAUUUCGAAUUAUUAUAUUAUAAAAAAAUCUUCGUGUUAUUAAAUGCAAAAAGUAAUUUUAUCUUUAUAGAAUGAUAUGAUAGAUAUGAUAGAUAAGAUAGACAUGAUAAUUAUUACGAAUAUAGCUGAAGUGCAGUCGAACUAGUCGAAGAUUUUCAGUGAGAAGGUAAUAACUAAAAGUCGACACUUAAAAAAUAGGGAAUAUUCCUCGAGUCGAGAACGAUUGCAGCUAUUUUGAUUAUUUUUAUACCGUGUAGAUAAAGAUAAUUAAUUAAUCGAAGCAAUGACAAAGCUUGGAAGCUUUUUUAUAUGGCUCAUGGGUUGGAAAUCUUAGUCGUGAUAAUUGUGUUUGACCAAACAUUAUCAUUAUCAUUAAUUAUUAUUAUACAUGUUUGUAAGAUGUAGAAGAUAUUGUAGAAUUUGUAGAAGAUAUUGUGCGUUGAUUUUUUUUUAUAAUUUAAGAUCAAUAAAGAAUAAAGUUAAAUAUAAUUUUAAAAUUUAAUAACGUUUGCAAUGAUAACGUUAUUGGCGAGACUAAUAUGAGUGAAAACGAAAGAAAUAUUAUCAUAAUUGUAUAAAUGAUCUGAUAAUUUAAAAAAAAAAAUAAGUAUUACAUGUAGAUGAGCUUUGAGUAGAUCGAUUGUGAUCUAAUUGAUACCGAUUGAUCAAUAAAUGAAAUAUUGCGAUUUUAAAAUUUAGAAAAAUGCUAAAUACUAUUAUUUAAGUCAUAUGCUGUUCAGUUCAAAUUAUAUUUUUGGUACAGAAUAUAUUUAUUGACUUCUAUUAAACAUUACUUGGUAUUAUGAAAUUUUAUUUUCUCUGUCUUAACCUUGAUUUAUAUAGUGCUAUCUGUUCAUUUUAAUUUACAAAAUUAUUAUUGAAGAUUAAAUACAUUUAUUAUAUUCGUACAAUGAUCAUUAUGUAAAUAUAUAUAUAUGUAAUUCUUUUAAAAUUUAUUAAUUGAAGAAGCACAUUCCUGCAUCUAUCUAUUCAUCCAAAUACAAUCAUUUA